GGCGUGGUGGCAGAGUGGUCUAAUGCGCAAGACUUGAAAUCUUGUUCCUUCGGGAGCGUCCGUUCGAACCGGGCCCACGUCG
rnacentral:tRNA from 1 species